GGACGAUUAAGGACAAACAAAUAUAAUCCUGUCUGAGAACGUAGGAGAUAACGGUGGACAAGGUGGAUAUUUCACUUCAAGGGUCCAGGAUAUGUAUUUAGAACUGAUUUCCAGAGCCGACCGUCGUGAACUCCUGACGAACAAAUGGAAAACGUGGCUCGCCACCCCAGUCCGGACAGCAUCGUCAUCACGGCGUGCACCCAGUAGCCUUGCUUUUUGCAGGCUGGGCACUUCCAUGAGACCAGCUCCGCGGGCAUGAGACGCCACUGGCACUCUUGGAUUCCUGACUCUGAUUGCGGAAUGGGGCGGUGAAGUCAGCUGGUGCCGUAAGACUUUCCAUCAGCCUUCCUGCUGGCAACUUGAUCACAGACUAUUGCCUGUAGAACUGUGAGGCCAUAAAUUUUGGCUACCCAGUUUAUGGUACUUUGUCACAGCAGACCUAGGAAGCUAAUAUACCACCUGAAAUCUGACCCGCUCUAUAAAGUUGAUCCAUAAGAAUUAUGCCUGUGUCCAAAAUCAGUUUGACCAAAUUCAGUUUUUUAAAAAAUUAACCAUUGAUCAGAACAUACCAGCGAGGGUUCCUGGGCACGCACUUCUGUCUGUUAACCCGGCUUUGUCACCAGAACCUGGUGCCUUAACCCUUCCCCUUUGAAGGGAAGCACAUGGUCCUUCCCACUUUGACUAGUCCCUCUGAUGCAAGGGCCACUGAGCAAUCAGUGUUCCCUCCUCCUGGAAUUGGGCAAGAGGCCACAGGGUGUAUCGUUCGCUGAGCCCGAGGCCUGGACAACAGCAGACAGCAGGGUGAGGAGCUCGGGUGGCUAAGCCAUGGGUCUUCUUAGGAUGGACAGGAUAUGGUGGCACCGGAAGGCCGAGAGCGUCCAGCAAGGAGAAGUCAAGCUCAGAACCCUCGGUGGCACACGUGCGAGACUGGGCAGGAGAAGAAUCAGCGGAGGAGGCCGAGAGGCAGUUGGCAGAAAGGUGGCAGGGAAACCAGGGAGAAAACGUCUUAGAAGCCAAGGGAGAAGGGCACUCAUAGCGAGGGCAGCCUGUGCCCCCGGAAGGACACAAGAUGAGGACCAAGACGAGGCACCGAAUUUGCAGACUGGGAGCCAGCGGCUUUUAGACACGCUAUCUCUGUGCCACGGAAGCUGGGUUAGCGUGGAACGGGAGAUGGGCCAGAGGUGGUGGAGAGGAGAGAAUACAAGUGGAUAUUUUGAAGGGAUCUCAUGGUACAAGGAGAGAGAAGACAGGAGGCAGCAUUAAGGAGGAGAUUGUUCUCCUGGUUUAGUAGUCUAUUUUUAACAUUGAGGAAAGAAUGAAAUGUUUGUGUUCCGAGGAGAGAGGAGAGACAGAAGCAGAAAGAGAGAAGAAAGAGAUCAUUCGGAAGGAAAGUCCCAGUGGAAGAGGCAGGGGCAUGAGCUCAACCAUGGAAAGGACCAUCUCCACUGAGCUGAGAAAGAAGCACAUGCAGAUAUAGACUCAGCUGAAGGGCUUUGGUUGGGGGGCAGGGGCAGGCAUGAGACCGGCAGAGCUCCGGGCUUCAUUUUGAUAGGAAGUAAGUAGGAAGAAAGGUCAAGGGAGUCCUGGUUCCUUCCAAUACUGUGACUUAGCACAAACUGCUGGCUCCCUUGCCCAAGACCGGUGUUGGAGAAACAAAA